rnacentral:rRNA from 1 species
UAAAAAAAAAUUUAGGCGGUAUUUUAUUCUAAUUAGAGGAAUUUGUUUUAUAAUUGAUAAUCCUCAUUUUAUCUCAUUUAACUUAAUUAAUUUGUAUAUCCGUCGUCAUAAGAAUUUCUUUAAAAAGUAAAAAUUUUCUAAAAUUUUAAUUAAUAAUAAUGUCAGAUCAAGGUGCAGUUUAUAGUUAAGUAAAAAUGAAUUACAAUUAAUUUAUUAAUUAUGAAUAUUAAUUUGAAAUAAUUAAUUAAAGGUGGAUUUAAUAGUAAAAUAAUAUUUAUUAAGAUGAGUUAUUUGAUUAUAGUUCUAAAAUAUGUACAAAUCGCUGGCACUUCUCUGA